GAUGAACGCUGGCGGCGUGCCUAAUACAUGCAAGUCGAGCGAACAGAUGAGAAGCUUGCUUCUCUGAUGUUAGCGGCGGACGGGUGAGUAACACGUGGGUAACCUACCUAUAAGACUGGGAUAACUCCGGGAAACCGGGGCUAAUACCGGAUAAUAUUUUGAACCGCAUGGUUCGAUAGUGAAAGACGGUUUCGGCUGUCACUUAUAGAUGGACCCGCGCCGUAUUAGCUAGUUGGUAAGGUAACGGCUUGCCAAGGCGACGAUACGUAGCCGACCUGGGAGGGUGAUCGGCCACACUGGAACUGAGAGACGGUCCAGACUCCUACGGGAGGCAGCAGUAGGGAAUCUUCCGCAAUGGGCGAAAGCCUGACGGAGCAACGCCGCGUGAGUGAUGAAGGUCUUCGGAUCGUAAAACUCUGUUGUUAGGGAAGAACAAAUUUGUUAGUAACUGAACAAGUCUUGACGGUACCUAACCAGAAAGCCACGGCUAACUACGUGCCAGCCGCCGCAGUAA
rnacentral:rRNA from 1 species